rfam:Homo sapiens chromosome Y, GRCh38 reference primary assembly.
UACAUGGUUGAUCCUACCAGAACCAUAUGCUUGUCUCAAAGAUUAAGCCAUACAUGUCUAAGUACGCAGGGCCGGUCCAGUGAAACUGCAAAUGGCUCAUUAAAUCAGUUAUGGUUCUUUUGGUCACUCGCUCCUCUCCUAAUUGGAAAACUGUGGUAAUUCUAAAUCUAAUACAUGCCAAAGGGCGCUGACCCCCUUCGCGGGGAAGAUGCGUGCAUUUAUCAGAUCAAAACCAACCCAGUCAGCCCCUCUCCAGCCCCGGCCGGAGGGUCAGGUGCCACCAGCUUUUGUGACACUAGAUAACCUCAGGCCAAUGGCAUGCCCCCAGUGGCAGCGACGACCCAUUCAAAAAUCUGCCUUAUCAACUUUCGAUGGUAGUUGCUGUGCCUACCACGGUGACCAUGGGUGAUGGGGAAUCAGGGUUCCACUCUGAAGAGGGAGCCUGAGAAACAGCUACCACAUUCAAGGAAGGCAGCAGGUGCAAAAAUUACCCACUCCCGACCGGGGGAGGUACUGAUGAAAAAUAACAAUACAGGACUCUUUCGAGGCCCUGUAAUUGAAAUGAGUCUACUUUAAAUCCUUUAGGAGGAUCCAUUGGAGGGCAAGUCUGGUGCCAGCAGCCACAGUAAUUCCAGCUCCAAUAGCAUAUAUUAAAGUUGUUAAAAAGCCCGUAGUUAGAUCUUGGGAGUGGGCGGGCAGGCUAGCCAUGGACCGUCCCCGCCCCUUGCCUCUCAGCACCCCCUCGAUGUUCUUAGCUGAGUGUCCCGUGGCCCAAAGCGUUUACUUUGAAAAAGUUAGACUGUUCAAAGCAGGCCUGAGCCACCUAGAUAUCUCAGCUAGGAAUGAUGGAAUAGAACCGCCAUUCUUUUUUGUUGGUUUUCAGGACUGAGGCCAUGAUUAAGAGGGAUGGCUGGGGGCAUUCGUAUUGUGCCACUAGAGGUGAAAUUCUUGGACUGGUGCAGUUCGGACCAGAGCUAAAGCAUUUGCCAAGAAUGUUUUCAUUAACCAAGAACGAAAGUCGGAGUUUCGAAGACGAUCAGAUACCGUCGUUGUUCCGACCAUAAACGAUGCCAACUGGUGAUGCAGCGGUGUUAUUUCCAUGACCCGCUGGGCAGCUUCCCAGAAACCAAAGUCUUUGGGUUUUUGGGUUCCCAGGCGAGUAUGGUUGCAAAGCUGAAACUUAAAGGAAUUGGUGGAAGGGCACCACCAGGAGUGGAGCCUGCAGCUUAAUUUGACUCAAUAUGGGAAACCUCACCCGGCCCGGACAUGGACAGGAUUGACAGAUUGAUAGGUCUUUCUUGAUUCCAUGGGUGGUGGUGCAUGGCCUUAGUUGGUGGAGUGAUUUGUCUGGUUAAUUCCGAUAAUGAAGGAGACUCUGGCAUGCUAACUAGUUACGCGACCCCCAAGCGGUCAGCAUCCCCCAACUUCUUAGAGGGAUAAGUGGCAUUUAGCCACCCGAGAUUGAGAAAUAACACGUCUGUGAUGCCCUUAGAUGUCUGGGGCUGCACGCACGCUACAGUGACUGGCUCAGCGUGUGCCUACCCUACGUGGCAGACGCGGGUAACCUGUUGAACACCAUUGGUGAUGGUGAUCGGGGAUUGCAAUUAUUCCCCAUGAAUGACGAAUUCCCAGUAAGUGUGGGUCAUAGGCUUGCGUGAAGUCCCUACCCUUUGUACACACUGCCAGUCGCUACUACUGAUUGGAUGGUUUAGUGAGGCCCUUGGAUCGGCCCCGCCGGGUCAGCCCACUGCCCUGGUGGAGCACUGAGAAGACAGUCGAACUUGACUAUCUAGAGGAAGUAAAAGUCAUAACAAAAUUUCCAUAGUUGAACCUGUCGAGGGAUCAUUA